GACGAACGCUGGCGGCGCGCCUAACACAUGCAAGUCGAACGAGCGAGAGAGAGCUUGCUUUCUCAAGCGAGUGGCGAACGGGUGAGUAACGCGUGAGGAACCUGCCUCAAAGAGGGGGACAACAGUUGGAAACGACUGCUAAUACCGCAUAAGCCCACGGCUCGGCAUCGAGCAGAGGGAAAAGGAGCAAUCCGCUUUGAGAUGGCCUCGCGUCCGAUUAGCUGGUUGGUGAGGUAAUGGCCCACCAAGGCGACGAUCGGUAGCCGGACUGAGAGGUUGAACGGCCACAUUGGGACUGAGACACGGCCCAGACUCCUACGGGAGGCAGCAGUGGGGAAUAUUGCACAAUGGGGGAAACCCUGAUGCAGCGACGCCGCGUGGAGGAAGAAGGUCUUCGGAUUGUAAACUCCUGUUGUUGAGGAAGAUAAUGACGGUACUCAACAAGGAAGUGACGGCUAACUACGCGCCAGCAGCCGCGGUAAAACGUAGGUCACAAGCGUUGUCCGGAAUUACUGGGUGUAAAGGGAGCGCAGGCGGGAAGACAAGUUGGAAGUGAAAUCCAUGGGCUCAACCCAUGAACUGCUUUCAAAACUGUUUUUCUUGAGUAGUGCAGAGGUAGGCGGAAUUCCCGGUGUAGCGGUGGAAUGCGUAGAUAUCGGGAGGAACACCAGUGGCGAAGGCGGCCUACUGGGCACCAACUGACGCUGAGGCUCGAAAGUGUGGGUAGCAAACAGGAUUAGAUACCCUGGUAGUCCACACUGUAAACGAUGAUUACUAGGUGUUGGAGGAUUGACCCCUUCAGUGCCGCAGUUAACACAAUAGUAAUCCACCUGGGGAGUACGACCGCAAGGUUGAAACUCAAAGGAAUUGACGGGGGCCCGCACAAGCAGUGGAGUAUGUGGUUUAAUUUGACGCAACGCGAAGAACCUUACCAAGUCUUGACAUCCUGCGACGCACAUAGAAAUAUGUGUUUCCUUCGGGACGCAGAGACAGGUGGUGCAUGGUUGUCGUCAGCUCGUGUCGUGAGAUGUUGGGUUAAGUCCCGCAACGAGCGCAACCCUUAUGGUCAGUUACUACGCAAGAGGACUCUGGCCAGACUGCCGUUGACAAAACGGAGGAAGGUGGGGAGGACGUCAAAUCAUCAUGCCCUUUAUGACUCGGGCUACACACGUACUACAAUGGCGUUAAACAAAGAGAAGCAAGACCGCGAGGUGGAGCAAAACUCAGAAACAACGUCCCAGUUCGGACUGCAGGCUGCAACUCGCCUGCACGAAGUCGGAAUUGCUAGUAAUCGCAGAUCAGCAUGCUGCGGUGAAUAAAAUCCCGGGCCUUGUAC
rnacentral:rRNA from 1 species